rnacentral:rRNA from 1 species
CGAGUGAAGCGGCAAAAGCUCAAAUUUGAAACCCUCGGGAUUGUAAUUUGAAGAUUUGGCAUUGGAGAAAGCUAACCCAAGUUGCUUGGAAUAGUACGUCAUAGAGGGUGACAACCCCGUCUGGCUAACCGUUCUCCAUGUAUUGCCUUAUCAAAGAGUCGAGUUGUUUGGGAAUGCAGCUCAAAGUGGGUGGUAAACUCCAUCUAAAGCUAAAUACUGGUGAGAGACCGAUAGCGAACAAGUACUGUGAAGGAAAGGUGAAAAGAACUUUGAAAAGAGAGUGAAAUAGUAUGUGAAAUUGUUGAUAGGGAAGGAAAUGAGUGGAGAGUGGCCGAGGUUUCAGCCGCCCCUCGUGGGCGGUGUACUGCCGACGCCGAGUCAUCGAUAGCGAGACGAGGGUUACAAAUGGGAGCGCCUUUCGGGCGUUCUCCCCUAACCCUCCACACUGCC